rnacentral:rRNA from 1 species
UAGUCAUAUGCUUGUCUCAAAGAUUAAGCCAUGCAAGUGUAAGUACGAGCUCGAGUACAGUGAAACUGCGAAUGGCUCAUUAAAUCAGUUAUGGUUCAUUUGAUCGUACGCUUUAAUACAUGGAUAACUGUGGCAAUUCUAGAGCUAAUACAUGCGUGAAGCGCCGACCUGACGGAAGGCGUGCAUUUAUCAGACCAAAACCAACCGGGCCUCGGCUCGUUUUGACGGUGACUCUGGAUAAGCUCGCGGAUCGCACGGCCUCGCGCCGGCGACAUCUCUUUAAAGCAACUGCCCUAUCAACUAUCGUCGGUACGGUAUCGGCCUACCGAGGUUGUAACGGGUGACGGAGAAUCAGGGUUCGAUUCCGGAGAGGGAGCCUGAGAAACGGCUACCACAUCCAAGGAAGGCAGCAGGCGCGCAAAUUACCCAUUCCCGGCUCGGGGAGGUAGUGACGAAAAAUAACAAUACAGGCCUCGUACGAGGCCCUGUAAUUGGAAUGAGUACACUUUAAACGCUUUAACGAGUAUCCAUUGGAGGGCAAGUCUGGUGCCAGCAGCCGCGGUAAUUCCAGCUCCAAAAGUGUAUAUUUAAGUUGUUGCGGUUGAAAAGCUCGUAGUUGGAUUUUGGGACGGCGCGUUCGGUCGGACGCAAGUCUUGUACUGGACGCGUUAUCCUCACAUGACCGGUGCCUCUAAGGUGCUCUUAACUGAAGUGUCUGUGCGGUCCGGGAAGUUUACCUUGAAAAAAUUAGAGUGUUCAAAGCAGGCUUUAAAGCUUGAAUAAUGUUGCAUGGAAUAAUGGAAUAGGACCUCGGUUCUAUUUUGUUGGUUUCUUGAACGCGAGGUAAUGAUUAAGAGGAACGGACGGGGGCAUCCGUACUGUGCCGUUAGAGGUGAAAUUCUUGGAUCGGCGCAAGACGAACAACUGCGAAAGCAUUU